UACGUAGGGGGCCAGCGUUGCUCGGAAUUACUGGGCGUAAAGGGUCCGUAGGCGGUGUGGCAAGUCGGGAGUGAAAUCUCUGGGCUUAACUCAGAGGCUGCUUCCGAAACUGCCGUGCUAGGGUGUGAGAGAGGCGAGUGGAAUUGCGGGUGUAGCGGUGAAAUGCGUAGAUAUCCGCAGGAACAUCCGAGGCGAAAGCGGCUCGCUGGAUCACAACUGACGCUGAGGGACGAAAGCUAGGGGAGCAAACAGG
rnacentral:rRNA from 1 species